rnacentral:rRNA from 1 species
GAAACCAACAGGGAUUGCCUCAGUAGCGGCGAGUGAAGCGGCAAAAGCUCAAAUUUGAAAUCUGGCGUCUUUGGCGUCCGAGUUGUAAUUUGAAGAAGGUAUCUUUGGGCCCGGCUCUUGUCUAUGUUCCUUGGAACAGGACGUCACAGAGGGUGAGAAUCCCGUGCGAUGAGAUGACCCGGGUCUGUGUAAAGUUCCUUCGACGAGUCGAGUUGUUUGGGAAUGCAGCUCUAAGUGGGUGGUAAAUUCCAUCUAAAGCUAAAUAUUGGCGAGAGACCGAUAGCGAACAAGUACAGUGAUGGAAAGAUGAAAAGAACUUUGAAAAGAGAGUGAAAAAGUACGUGAAAUUGUUGAAAGGGAAGGGCUUGAGAUCAGACUUGGUAUUUUGCAUGUUGCUCUCUCGGGGGCGGCCGCUGCGGUUUACCGGGCCAGCAUCGGUUUGGAGCGGCAGGAUAAUGGCGGAGGAAUGUGGCACGGCUUCUGCUGUGUGUUAUAG